GAUGAAGAACGUAGCGAAAUGCGAUAAGUAAUGUGAAUUGCAGAAUUCAGUGAAUCAUCGAAUCUUAGAACGCACCUUGCGCUCUUUGGUAUUCCGAAGAGCAUGCCUGUUUGAGUGUCAUGAAAAUAUCAACCUUGACUUGGGUUUUGUGCUCUAGUCUCGGCUUGGAAUUGGGUGCUUGCCGCUUUUACGAGCGGCUCACCUUAAAUGUAUUAGCUGGAUCUGUCUUUGAGACUUGGUUUGACUUGGCGUAAUAAGUAUUUCGCUAAGGACAUUCUUCGGAGUGGCCUCGUUUCUAGGACGCUUGUCCGCUUUCCAAUACAAGUUCCACCUCGUGGACAUGACUUUUUAUUAUCUGGCCUCAAAUCAGGUAGGACUACCCGCUGAACUUAAGCAUAUCAAUAAGCGGAGGA
rnacentral:misc_RNA from 1 species